rnacentral:rRNA from 1 species
CCUACGGGAGGCAGCAGUGGGGGAUAUUGCACAAUGGGGGAAACCCUGAUGCAGCGACGCCGCGUGGGGGAAGAAGUAUUUCGGUAUGUAAAGCCCUAUCAGCAGGGAAGAAGAAAUGACGGUACCUGAGUAAGAAGCCCCGGCUAAAUACGUGCCAGCAGCCGCGGUAAUACGUAUGGUGCAAGCGUUAUCCGGAUUUACUGGGUGGAAAGGGCGCGCAGGCGGCACGGCAAGCCUGAUGUGAAAGCCCGCGGCCCAACCGCGGGACUGCAUUGGGAACUGCCGGGCUGGAGUGCCGGAGAGGUAGGCGGAAUUCCUAGUGUAGCGGUGAAAUGCGUAGAUAUUAGGAGGAACACCAGUGGCGAAGGCGGCCUACUGGACGGUGACUGACGCUGAGGCUCGAAAGCGUGGGGAGCAAACAGGAUUAGAUACCCUGGUAGUC